rnacentral:rRNA from 1 species
AAGUCGUAACAAGGUUUCCGUAGGUGAACCUGCGGAAGGAUCAUUACAGAGAACAUGCCCUUUAGGGGGUAUAUCUCCCACCCUUUGUUUACAAUACCUUUGUUGCUUUGGUGGGCCCGUCUUUUAGACCACCGGCCUUGGCUGGUCUGUGCCCACCAGAGGACCAAACAAUUCCUUUUAUUAUGUUGUCUGAGUCUAAAUAAUUUUUAUAAAACUUUCAACAACGGAUCUCUUGGCUCUCGCAUCGAUGAAGAACGCAGCGAAAUGCGAUAAGUAAUGUGAAUUGCAGAAUUCAGUGAAUCAUCGAAUCUUUGAACGCACCUUGCACCCUUUGGUAUUCCGAAGGGUACGCCCGUUUGAGUGUCAUUGUAAUCUCACUGCGAUCGACUUUUGUCUUUCCGUAUGUGGACUUGGACGUCUGCCGUGGAUAUCUACGGCUCGUCUGAAAUGCCUCAGUGUACCCCGCAGAGCGGCGUAUUCGGUGUGAUACAUCUUCACCGGAGUUGAUCCUUCACGGGGUCACGUCUGUAAUGUGUGGCUCUAUGCUUCCAACCGUCCUCUGAUCGGACAAUCUUUGACAAUUCGACCUCAAAUCGGGUGGGACUACCCGCAGAACUUAA